AUUGAACGCUGGCGGCAUGCCUUACACAUGCAGGUCGAACGGUAACGGGCCUUCGGGUGCCGACGAGUGGCGAACGGGUGAGUAAUGCAUCGGAACGUACCUUUCAGUGGGGGAUAACGUAGCGAAAGUUACGCUAAUACCGCAUAUUCUGUGAGCAGGAAAGCAGGGGAUCGCAAGACCUUGCGCUGAUUGAGCGGCCGAUGUCAGAUUAGCUAGUUGGUGAGGUAAAGGCUCACCAAGGCGACGAUCUGUAGCGGGUCUGAGAGGAUGAUCCGCCACACUGGGACUGAGACACGGCCCAGACUCCUACGGGAGGCAGCAGUGGGGAAUUUUGGACAAUGGGGGCAACCCUGAUCCAGCCAUGCCGCGUGAGUGAAGAAGGCCUUCGGGUUGUAAAGCUCCUUCGGCCGGGAAGAAAUCGCACAGGCUAAUACCUUGUGUGGAUGACGGUACCGGAAUAAGAAGCACCGGCUAACUACGUGCCAGCCGCCGCGGUAAUAC
rnacentral:rRNA from 1 species